CCUACGGGAGGCAGCAGUGAGGAAUAUUGGUCAAUGGCCGAGAGGCUGAACCAGCCAAGUCGCGUGAGGGAAGAAUGUCCUCUGGAUUGUAAACCUCUUUUGUCAGGGAGCAAAGUCAUCCACGUGUGGGUUUCGGAGAGUACCUGAAGAAAAAGCAUCGGCUAACUCCGUGCCAGCAGCCGCGGUAAUACGGAGGAUGCGAGCGUUAUCCGGAUUUAUUGGGUUUAAAGGGUGCGCAGGCGGGUUAUCAAGUCAGCGGUAAAAGCGUGGAGCUCAACUUCAUCCAGCCGUUGAAACUUAUGAUCUUGAGUGGGCGAGAAGUAUGCGGAAUGCGUGGUGUAGCGGUGAAAUGCAUAGAUAUCACGCAGAACACCGAUUGCGAAGGCAGCAUACCGGCGCCCGACUGACGCUGAGGCACGAAAGCGUGGGUAUCGAACAGGAUUAGAUACCCUUGUAGUC
rnacentral:rRNA from 1 species